UGCCCCUUCUCACCUUUUGGCUUCUAAGCUCCAAAAGGGAGCUAAGGAAGCCUCCUGCACAAAGGAACACGGGGAGAUUUUUUUUCCCUACGGUGAAUAACAGUGUCCAAGGGACAAAAAGCCUUUGCUUAAGAAAUAAAACAUUCAUGACAGAAUUGAAGAGAUCACGCUAAGUCAAGGAGGGGCAAGGGUUAUGGGAGAACUUACGCGAAUACCUGAAGCGGAAAGCUGCAAGGGCUGGGGGCAGCUUCGCUAAGCAAACUGCUAGCCCUGUCAGUCAGUCGCUGACUGGAUCCAUGGAGUGGCCCUGCGAGAUAAGUAUCCCCAUUCCUGUUCCCUCACUGGGGAAACCAAGGCUCUCAAAGGUCGACCAGGAGUCCACACCAUCCUUCAUGCUUAGGUCUUGGACACCUGCUCCUGCAUUUCACUUUUUACCUGCAAUUCUGCAAUGUUGCCAAUGCCGCUACUAACACCCUAUUCUACAAGCUGUUGAAAACCAUGCCACACACCACCCCGUGCAUCACCCUCUUCUUGCCUCCAUGUAAAUAAUGAAAAAUAAUCUAUGGCACUGAGCAGAUGGGUUCUUUCUUAAGAAAGACCCAAUUAUUGAAGAUCUAAUGCAAGGGGAAGUCAUAAAUAUCCCGGUUUGCUGCAGUGGAGAGGAAUUAACGACACAGCAAUUAAAGAAAACUGGUUGCCCAUGGAGGAAACAUGCAGACUUCCAGUGCAGAACUCAGGGGGAAGCCCAUUGUCAAGGCCCUGCGUCAUAAAUGCCAAGGACAGAGGAUUUUAGAGAAGAAGCCCUGGGCUCUUGAAGGCUUCCCUCACUCAGUGGGUGUAAUUCCCAUAUACCAUGGAGAAUAUGGUAGAGACCAAAGCUCUAUCCACCAGAUUUCUAUUUCUAUCUGUGAGAGCUUUCCCUGCAGAAGGAGUUUAUUGAGGAAUUUAAGCACAGAGUGACUACAGCUUGCUCGGGAAGGGAAGAAAGUUUUUUGGAAAGGGUAGAGUGUUGGGAGGAAGAAGGAGAGAGGCUGAAGGAAGAUCAUGAUAUUCUUGAGGCCAGCCCACCUUCUGGUCCCAGUCUAGAACCUCUCCCCUGAUGACCCGCCUGUCCUGGCUGCCUCUGCCCCACACCCGGUCUGUCUCUCAUUUCCUUCAGCCUCCAUGGACGUUUAUGAGAUCUUAGCCCUGAAUCCCAGGGCCUUGCCAGGCACUUCUGCACAGAAUAUAGGGAAGGGGCAAACAAAUAGUGUCCUUAAUUUCCUUCCCUGCCCCUUAAUUCAAAGAAACAGAACUCACAGGGUUCUAGAACCAGUAUAAGGAUCCCAGGUUCUAGAGACCACUGCUUCUAAGGCGCCUCCAAGGGAGAGUUUUCCAAAAUCACACAGGGAGACACUCACCGUAGAAGAGGGGCUAAAAUGUGAUGGGUUCUGUCCAGGGAUACCCAGGAAUCAUUUUUUUUUUUGUACCUCCCUUUACUUUGCAGCCCCAGGAGGAUCCACAUCCCACCUCCCCUUUCAUUUUAGGCCUAAGAUCACUAGGCUGGGUAAGGAUAUAUCCUAGACUCUCCAUCCACCCACCCGGAAUUUACAGGACACAGAGGUAGGGUAGGGAAUCCCCCAGGGGCCAGGUUUGGUCCUGAAAGUGUUCAUCGGUUCUCCCCCACCCUCAGAUGGGAGAAACUGACGGUGGCUGAGGAAGUGGCAUGGUGACAACGACAGGGCCUGAGUGGGUGGGUGUGAACAGGGCUGGAAGAACCCGCAAGUGAGCUUAGAAGGUGGGGUCUUGCUCGGGAGAGGGGCCUGAGGCGCUGACUCAGCGGCGACGCCUGCAGGGUGUUCCCGGCUGCCGCCCCGCCCGCCCCGCCCGCAGGGUGCCCUUUGAAGCCCGGAGGGGGCUUUGAUCUGGGGUCUGCCCCUCUCUCAGCUGGCCCGGCCAGAUGCGCUGGGGGGAGGGGCGGAGGAGCCGACCACCCCCUGCCACGCCUUCCCCGCCCCCCUGCAUCCCCCCUUCACCGCUCCCCGCCCCCCCCCCCGGGCCCCAGGACUGUUUCCGGCUGUUGCGGGGGCACCCGACCCUCCCCCCCCACGCUUUGCAGCUGUUCCCCAGCUGCGCGGCCCCACCCCAAAGACAGCUGGGAGAGAGGCUGGGGGCGGGGAGCGGGGCACAGCUGCUGGCCCGGGCUCGGACGGGGAGGGCAGAGACUUGAAAGGGCUCGGGCGGCGCGGGUGGCGGGCGGAGGAAAGCCCCCGGCGGUCGCCUCCCCGCUGGCUGCGCACAUCUGGGCCACAGCAGCCGCUGCCCCCCACCGGUGGGGUGGAGGAGAGGCGCUUCCGACACCCAGCCCUUCCCGGAAAGGGGAGGAGUGACCGCCUCUAGGGGAAGGCGGGAGGGCAGCGCCUGGGGUGUGAGAGCCAGUAUCUCGGAGUCGUUCGCGGUGUGAGGCGCAGGGUGUGCCUGUGGGUGCCCAGAGGUGUGGGAGUAUGCACACCAGGGCAGGGUGGGGAAGGCCCCCUUCACACCUUCCCCUGCAGGCCUUGUGUCUUGGGGCAGCUCCAGCCUUUUCUGGGCCUCCUCUGCCCCUGACCCUUUUGGGAGGAGGGUGACAGCUGCUCCUACAAAGCCGGGGACAGCUGGGUGGCUGGGGACAGCUGGAUGGGGUUAGUGUCUCCCUGCUUCCCUGGCUGCCCAGGCACCCCCAGGCUGGACUACUGGCAGCUGGCUGCUUUGCCUGCAGCCUGUGUGCUUAAGUGUGUAAUUGUUGGGGGGGGGGGGUGGGACCUGGUGGGGCUCAAACCGUCCCACCCCCACCAGUCUCCCUCCAUAUCCCAGUCUGACCCAAGUAUCUGGAGAGAGGAAGGACCCCUCCCAACAGCUAAAAUGAAACUAGGCCAAGUGGGAAAGAAAUUGGGCAGCUUUCUGCCUUGGCUCCUAACCCUUGGCACGGAGGACGUCCUAGGGUCCCUGACAACUAGAGAAAGGGAGAGUGAGUCAGGAGCAGAUGUGAGUGGAGUUAAAUGUCUAUCUGGCCACCAGCACCUGCCCCCAGGCAUCCUUCCACCCCUGGGCUGCAGGGGCCCUGUGCUCCAACCAUCUGCCCUCUCGCUGUAGCCCCAAACAGGUGCAGGGGAAGAGAAGGGGGCAGGCCAGCUGUUGUCAUCCUGUCCUGGCUCUGGCUCCCUGCCAAAGUGAGGAAGGGGGAGCAAUGAAGGAAAGGUCCACCCACCCCACACUGAAUCGUUUUCUAUUCCCACAGGAUGGGAAGACGGCUUCUACUUAACAGGACUAAGACUCUGGUUUGGUUGGCCAACCCAGCUGGCCAGGGGAACAUGGCUUGACCAUGCCUUCCACCCUAGGUCGUUACUUGUAUGAGAAGGGGAGUAACUAGGGCCGGGUGUGGCUUGGACCCCUGGCACAGGACUCACUCGUGGCUUUUGGGGGUAGGAGGCAUUCAGGCCCUGACUCUACCCAGACAAGGGGAGAGAACUAGGCACCAGCAAAGGUUGCCCCUCCUCCUAGUAUGGAAGGGCACAGGCUGCUUUAUGACAUAAGAUCCAAGCGGAGUGUUAGGUAACAAACCAGAGAUCCUUUUUAAAGUUCACUUCCCGGCCCCAACAGAGGAGUGCCUUGGAGUGCUCCAGCCCCUCCUUCCACCCAGGGGUCCCUAUAACAAGCAAGACCCUAGCAAGUCCUUCGUCACAGCACUUUUAACUGGGGAACUAAAAUGCAGAUUCCUGGGCCCUUGAUGAGUCCCACGGAGUCUAAGCAGGCCCCAGGAAUCAGCCCUUUUAACAAGCUCCCAAGACAUGGUCGAGUUUGAGCAGUUCUGCCAAAGGGGAUGGGGGUAGAACGUCUUCACCUACCUCCAUGUGUCUCAGAGCCAAGUAUUUUCCUGUCUGCUCUUCUUCUAUGCGUGGGGGCAGGGGCCUAGACCCAAGUCACCAAACGAAGCAUGGAGUUGACUCCCCCAGUGGUGGCCAAGGCCUAGUUCAACUAAAUCCCCAAAAGAGGGUCUGCUCUGUUUAUGCCCAUGGCCCCACACAGUGCCUGGCACUUAGCAUGUGCUCAAUAAAUAUUUGUGGACUGAAGGAGGUAAUUUUGCAAGACUCAGAGAGGUAUUUCUUUCUUUGUCUGUUCUAGCUAAGAACAUGCUGGCAGAACCUCAAAGAGAUGCCAGGGCCUAUGCAGCAGGGGGCUGGGCCUGGGAGGCCCUCACUCAGCAAAUAUUUGUCAAAUGAACCCAAGGCUGAGAGUGGACGUAGUUAGUGCCUGACAAAUUGACAUUCACAGGCCUGGAACAGACUAGGCCGAGCACAGAAUCAAGGCAAGGAAGGCAGGGGCUUCCUUCCCUCAGUGCCCUUUCUUGGACCAACACCUAAAAACUCCAGGCCUGGGGGAGUGGGCGGGGUAAGAGGCGAGGCAGGGAGCGGGACUGCGCCAUUAUGUUUAUUAGAAGGUUGGAUUUCGGUGUGUGCUCUAGAUAGAUUACAGAAUAAAUACCUGCGUCUUGAGAACAGGAAGUCCACGAUUCAUACAAAGUGCUCACUACAGGAAGUUGCUGUGUCAAAAUCCAGGCAAGGACCCAACUCGGGGCAGCCCCUCCUCCCCCACUGACCUCAACAAGGGCUGUGCUAUGGUUUUUUUAUUUUAUUAUUUCUUUUAUUUCUCUUUAUUAUUAUUAAUAUUAUUAUUAUUUGCUUUUGCUGUGGUCACUAUCAUUGGCAAAGUUCCUUUUCCCCUUUCCUGGACAUGGGGUUCCUGUCUUUAAGAUUCCACUCUGAGGCUGAAGGUGCCAAAAGCUGCUUGAGAAGUGGCCUUUGAACUCCAUCUGGGAGGAUGUUGAGAAGAAGGAAGCAGGAGAAAUCAUUCUUGGUUUUAAAAAAAUUAAAAAAAAAAAAAAAAA